CUUCGAAGCCACUAUGUUUUCUGCACUUGUGACUAGAGAGCACCUUGAUAGCUCAGUUGGUAGAGCGGUGGACUGUAAGAUGCUCCUUGUGUGAAACGCCGUGAUCCUAAGCUCGCUGGUUCAACUCCAGCUCCAAGCACCUCCUUGUCAUUGGAAAUACCCCCAAGCCUUGUCUUUAUCUGUCAACUCCUCCAAAAUGUCAAAACACAAAGAAGAUAACUCUUUCUUAAAUUUUCAACCAUCAAUUUUUUAUUCACUCAGCCUAAAAGUCCUGAUUAUCAGUUCUGGGUCCCUGGCAAUGACUGUUGGGUACAAACUGCAAAGCUUUGUUCUGCAGGUAGGGCUGGGCUUUUCAUUGACCAUGGGUUGGAAUAGUUCUGUGGGCAUAGUGUGUCUUCGAAGCCACUAUGUUUUCUGCACUUGUGACUAGAGAGCACCUUGAUAGCUCAGUUGGUAGAGCGGUGGACUGUAAGAUGCUCCUUGUGUGAAACGCCGUGAUCCUAAGGUCGCUGGUUCAACUCCAGCUCCAAGCACCUCCUUGUCAUUGGAAAUACCCCCAAGCCUUGUCUUUAUCUGUCAACUCCUCCAAAAUGUCAAAACACAAAGAAGAUAACUCUUUCUUAAAUUUUCAACCAUCAAUUUUUUAUUCACUCAGCCUAAAAGUCCUGAUUAUCAGUUCUGGGUCCCUGGCAAUGACUGUUGGGUACAAACUGCAAAGCUUUGUUCUGCAGGUAGGGCUGGGCUUUUCAUUGACCAUGGGUUGGAAUAGUUCUGUGGGCAUAGUGUGUCUUCGAAGCCACUAUGUUUUCUGCACUUGUGACUAGAGAGCACCUUGAUAGCUCAGUUGGUAGAGCGGUGGACUGUAAGAUGCUCCUUGUGUGAAACGCUGUGAUCCUAAGGUCGCUGGUUCAACUCCAGCUCCAAGCACCUCCUUGUCAUUGGAAAUACCCCCAAGCCUUGUCUUUAUCUGUCAACUCCUCCAAAAUGUCAAAACACAAAGAAGAUAACUCUUUCUUAAAUUUUCAACCAUCAAUUUUUUAUUCACUCAGCCUAAAAGUCCUGAUUAUCAGUUCUGGGUCCCUGGCAAUGACUGUUGGGUACAAACUGCAAAGCUUUGUUCUGCAGGUAGGGCUGGGCUUUUCAUUGACCAUGGGUUGGAAUAGUUCUGUGGGCAUAGUGUGUCUUCGAAGCCACUAUGUUUUCUGCACUUGUGACUAGAGAGCACCUUGAUAGCUCAGUUGGUAGAGCGGUGGACUGUAAGAUGCUCCUUGUGUGAAACGCUGUGAUCCUAAGGUCGCUGGUUCAACUCCAGCUCCAAGCACCUCCUUGUCAUUGGAAAUACCCCCAAGCCUUGUCUUUAUCUGUCAACUCCUCCAAAAUGUCAAAACACAAAGAAGAUAACUCUUUCUUAAAUUUUCAACCAUCAAUUUUUUAUUCACCCAGCCUAAAAGUCCUGAUUAUCAGUUCUGGGUCCCUGGCAAUGACUGUUGGGUACAAACUGCAAAGCUUUGUUCUGCAGGUAGGGCUGGGCUUUUCAUUGACCAUGGGUUGGAAUAGUUCUGUGGGCAUAGUGUGUCUUCGAAGCCACUAUGUUUUCUGCACUUGUGACUAGAGAGCACCUUGAUAGCUCAGUUGGUAGAGCGGUGGACUGUAAGAUGCUCCUUGUGUGAAACGCUGUGAUCCUAAGGUCGCUGGUUCAACUCCAGCUCCAAGCACCUCCUUGUCAUUGGAAAUACCCCCAAGCCUUGUCUUUAUCUGUCAACUCCUCCAAAAUGUCAAAACACAAAGAAGAUAACUCUUUCUUAAAUUUUCAACCAUCAAUUUUUUAUUCACUCAGCCUAAAAGUCCUGAUUAUCAGUUCUGGGUCCCUGGCAAUGACUGUUGGGUACAAACUGCAAAGCUUUGUUCUGCAGGUAGGGCUGGGCUUUUCAUUGACCAUGGGUUGGAAUAGUUCUGUGGGCAUAGUGUGUCUUCGAAGCCACUAUGUUUUCUGCACUUGUGACUAGAGAGCACCUUGAUAGCUCAGUUGGUAGAGCGGUGGACUGUAAGAUGCUCCUUGUGUGAAACGCUGUGAUCCUAAGGUCGCUGGUUCAACUCCAGCUCCAAGCACCUCCUUGUCAUUGGAAAUACCCCCAAGCCUUGUCUUUAUCUGUCAACUCCUCCAAAAUGUCAAAACACAAAGAAGAUAACUCUUUCUUAAAUUUUCAACCAUCAAUUUUUUAUUCACCCAGCCUAAAAGUCCUGAUUAUCAGUUCUGGGUCCCUGGCAAUGACUGUUGGGUACAAACUGCAAAGCUUUGUUCUGCAGGUAGGGCUGGGCUUUUCAUUGACCAUGGGUUGGAAUAGUUCUGUGGGCAUAGUGUGUCUUCGAAGCCACUAUGUUUUCUGCACUUGUGACUAGAGAGCACCUUGAUAGCUCAGUUGGUAGAGCGGUGGACUGUAAGAUGCUCCUUGUGUGAAACGCUGUGAUCCUAAGGUCGCUGGUUCAACUCCAGCUCCAAGCACCUCCUUGUCAUUGGAAAUACCCCCAAGCCUUGUCUUUAUCUGUCAACUCCUCCAAAAUGUCAAAACACAAAGAAGAUAACUCUUUCUUAAAUUUUCAACCAUCAAUUUUUUAUUCACUCAGCCUAAAAGUCCUGAUUAUCAGUUCUGGGUCCCUGGCAAUGACUGUUGGGUACAAACUGCAAAGCUUUGUUCUGCAGGUAGGGCUGGGCUUUUCAUUGACCAUGGGUUGGAAUAGUUCUGUGGGCAUAGUGUGUCUUCGAAGCCACUAUGUUUUCUGCACUUGUGACUAGAGAGCACCUUGAUAGCUCAGUUGGUAGAGCGGUGGACUGUAAGAUGCUCCUUGUGUGAAACGCUGUGAUCCUAAGGUCGCUGAUUCAACUCCAGCUCCAAGCACCUCCUUGUCAUUGGAAAUACCCCCAAGCCUUGUCUUUAUCUGUCAACUCCUCCAAAAUGUCAAAACACAAAGAAGAUAACUCUUUCUUAAAUUUUCAACCAUCAAUUUUUUAUUCACCCAGCCUAAAAGUCCUGAUUAUCAGUUCUGGGUCCCUGGCAAUGACUGUUGGGUACAAACUGCAAAGCUUUGUUCUGCAGGUAGGGCUGGGCUUUUCAUUGACCAUGGGUUGGAAUAGUUCUGUGGGCAUAGUGUGUCUUCGAAGCCACUAUGUUUUCUGCACUUGUGACUAGAGAGCACCUUGAUAGCUCAGUUGGUAGAGCGGUGGACUGUAAGAUGCUCCUUGUGUGAAACGCUGUGAUCCUAAGGUCGCUGGUUCAACUCCAGCUCCAAGCACCUCCUUGUCAUUGGAAAUACCCCCAAGCCUUGUCUUUAUCUGUCAACUCCUCCAAAAUGUCAAAACACAAAGAAGAUAACUCUUUCUUAAAUUUUCAACCAUCAAUUUUUUAUUCACUCAGCCUAAAAGUCCUGAUUAUCAGUUCUGGGUCCCUGGCAAUGACUGUUGGGUACAAACUGCAAAGCUUUGUUCUGCAGGUAGGGCUGGGCUUUUCAUUGACCAUGGGUUGGAAUAGUUCUGUGGGCAUAGUGUGUCUUCGAAGCCACUAUGUUUUCUGCACUUGUGACUAGAGAGCACCUUGAUAGCUCAGUUGGUAGAGCGGUGGACUGUAAGAUGCUCCUUGUGUGAAACGCUGUGAUCCUAAGGUCGCUGGUUCAACUCCAGCUCCAAGCACCUCCUUGUCAUUGGAAAUACCCCCAAGCCUUGUCUUUAUCUGUCAACUCCUCCAAAAUGUCAAAACACAAAGAAGAUAACUCUUUCUUAAAUUUUCAACCAUCAAUUUUUUAUUCACCCAGCCUAAAAGUCCUGAUUAUCAGUUCUGGGUCCCUGGCAAUGACUGUUGGGUACAAACUGCAAAGCUUUGUUCUGCAGGUAGGGCUGGGCUUUUCAUUGACCAUGGGUUGGAAUAGUUCUGUGGGCAUAGUGUGUCUUCGAAGCCACUAUGUUUUCUGCACUUGUGACUAGAGAGCACCUUGAUAGCUCAGUUGGUAGAGCGGUGGACUGUAAGAUGCUCCCCGUGUGUGAAACGCUGUGAUCCUAAGGUCGCUGGUUCAACUCCAGCUCCAAGCACCUCCUUGUCAUUGGAAAUACCCCCAAGCCUUGUCUUUAUCUGUCAACUCCUCCAAAAUGUCAAAACACAAAGAAGAUAACUCUUUCUUAAAUUUUCAACCAUCAAUUUUUUAUUCACUCAGCCUAAAAGUCCUGAUUAUCAGUUCUGGGUCCCUGGCAAUGACUGUUGGGUACAAACUGCAAAGCUUUGUUCUGCAGGUAGGGCUGGGCUUUUCAUUGACCAUGGGUUGGAAUAGUUCUGUGGGCAUAGUGUGUCUUCGAAGCCACUAUGUUUUCUGCACUUGUGACUAGAGAGCACCUUGAUAGCUCAGUUGGUAGAGCGGUGGACUGUAAGAUGCUCCUUGUGUGAAACGCUGUGAUCCUAAGGUCGCUGGUUCAACUCCAGCUCCAAGCACCUCCUUGUCAUUGGAAAUACCCCCAAGCCUUGUCUUUAUCUGUCAACUCCUCCAAAAUGUCAAAACACAAAGAAGAUAACUCUUUCUUAAAUUUUCAACCAUCAAUUUUUUAUUCACCCAGCCUAAAAGUCCUGAUUAUCAGUUCUGGGUCCCUGGCAAUGACUGUUGGGUACAAACUGCAAAGCUGUGUUCUGCAGGUAGGGCUGGGCUUUUCAUUGACCAUGGGUUGGAAUAGUUCUGUGGGCAUAGUGUGUCUUCGAAGCCACUAUGUUUUCUGCACUUGUGACUAGAGCGCACCUUGAUAGCUCAGUUGGUAGAGCGGUGGACUGUAAGAUGCUCCUUGUGUGAAACGCUGUGAUCCUAAGGUCGCUGAUUCAACUCCAGCUCCAAGCACCUCCUUGUCAUUGGAAAUACCCCCAAGCCUUGUCUUUAUCUGUCAACUCCUCCAAAAUGUCAAAACACAAAGAAGAUAACUCUUUCUUAAAUUUUCAACCAUCAAUUUUUUAUUCACCCAGCCUAAAAGUCCUGAUUAUCAGUUCUGGGUCCCUGGCAAUGACUGUUGGGUACAAACUGCAAAGCUUUGUUCUGCAGGUAGGGCUGGGCUUUUCAUUGACCAUGGGUUGGAAUAGUUCUGUGGGCAUAGUGUGUCUUCGAAGCCACUAUGUUUUCUGCACUUGUGACUAGAGAGCACCUUGAUAGCUCAGUUGGUAGAGCGGUGGACUGUAAGAUGCUCCUUGUGUGAAACGCCGUGAUCCUAAGCUCGCUGGUUCAACUCCAGCUCCAAGCACCUCCUUGUCAUUGGAAAUACCCCCAAGCCUUGUCUUUAUCUGUCAACUCCUCCAAAAUGUCAAAACACAAAGAAGAUAACUCUUUCUUAAAUUUUCAACCAUCAAUUUUUUAUUCACUCAGCCUAAAAGUCCUGAUUAUCAGUUCUGGGUCCCUGGCAAUGACUGUUGGGUACAAACUGCAAAGCUGUGUUCUGCAGGUAGGGCUGGGCUUUUCAUUGACCAUGGGUUGGAAUAGUUCUGUGGGCAUAGUGUGUCUUCGAAGCCACUAUGUUUUCUGCACUUGUGACUAGAGAGCACCUUGAUAGCUCAGUUGGUAGAGCGGUGGACUGUUAGAUGCUCCUUGUGUGAAACGCUGUGAUCCUAAGGUCGCUGGUUCAACUCCAGCUCCAAGCACCUCCUUGUCAUUGGAAAUACCCCCAAACCUUGUCUUUAUCUGUCAACUCCUCCAAAAUGUCAAAACACAAAGAAGAUAACUCUUUCUUAAAUUUUCAACCAUCAAUUUUUUAUUCACCCAGCCUAAAAGUCCUGAUUAUCAGUUCUGGGUCCCUGGCAAUGACUGUUGGGUACAAACUGCAAAGCUUUGUUCUGCAGGUAGGGCUGGGCUUUUCAUUGACCAUGGGUUGGAAUAGUUCUGUGGGCAUAGUGUGUCUUCGAAGCCACUAUGUUUUCUGCACUUGUGACUAGAGAGCACCUUGAUAGCUCAGUUGGUAGAGCGGUGGACUGUAAGAUGCUCCUUGUGUGAAACUCCGUGAUCCUAAGCUCGCUGGUUCAACUCCAGCUCCAAGCACCUCCUUGUCAUUGGAAAUACCCCCAAGCCUUGUCUUUAUCUGUCAACUCCUCCAAAAUGUCAAAACACAAAGAAGAUAACUCUUUCUUAAAUUUUCAACCAUCAAUUUUUUAUUCACCCAGCCUAAAAGUCCUGAUUAUCAGUUCUGGGUCCCUGGCAAUGACUGUUGGGUACAAACUGCAAAGCUUUGUUCUGCAGGUAGGGCUGGGCUUUUCAUUGACCAUGGGUUGGAAUAGUUCUGUGGGCAUAGUGUGUCUUCGAAGCCACUAUGUUUUCUGCACUUGUGACUAGAGAGCACCUUGAUAGCUCAGUUGGUAGAGCGGUGGACUGUAAGAUGCUCCUUGUGUGAAACGCUGUGAUCCUAAGGUCGCUGGUUCAACUCCAGCUCCAAGCACCUCCUUGUCAUUGGAAAUACCCCCAAGCCUUGUCUUUAUCUGUCAACUCCUCCAAAAUGUCAAAACACAAAGAAGAUAACUCUUUCUUAAAUUUUCAACCAUCAAUUUUUUAUUCACUCAGCCUAAAAGUCCUGAUUAUCAGUUCUGGGUCCCUGGCAAUGACUGUUGGGUACAAACUGCAAAGCUUUGUUCUGCAGGUAGGGCUGGGCUUUUCAUUGACCAUGGGUUGGAAUAGUUCUGUGGGCAUAGUGUGUCUUCGAAGCCACUAUGUUUUCUGCACUUGUGACUAGAGAGCACCUUGAUAGCUCAGUUGGUAGAGCGGUGGACUGUAAGAUGCUCCUUGUGUGAAACGCUGUGAUCCUAAGGUCGCUGGUUCAACUCCAGCUCCAAGCACCUCCUUGUCAUUGGAAAUACCCCCAAGCCUUGUCUUUAUCUGUCAACUCCUCCAAAAUGUCAAAACACAAAGAAGAUAACUCUUUCUUAAAUUUUCAACCAUCAAUUUUUUAUUCACUCAGCCUAAAAGUCCUGAUUAUCAGUUCUGGGUCCCUGGCAAUGACUGUUGGGUACAAACUGCAAAGCUUUGUUCUGCAGGUAGGGCUGGGCUUUUCAUUGACCAUGGGUUGGAAUAGUUCUGUGGGCAUAGUGUGUCUUCGAAGCCACUAUGUUUUCUGCACUUGUGACUAGAGAGCACCUUGAUAGCUCAGUUGGUAGAGCGGUGGACUGUAAGAUGCUCCUUGUGUGAAACGCCGUGAUCCUAAGGUCGCUGGUUCAACUCCAGCUCCAAGCACCUCCUUGUCAUUGGAAAUACCCCCAAGCCUUGUCUUUAUCUGUCAACUCCUCCAAAAUGUCAAAACACAAAGAAGAUAACUCUUUCUUAAAUUUUCAACCAUCAAUUUUUUAUUCACCCAGCCUAAAAGUCCUGAUUAUCAGUUCUGGGUCCCUGGCAAUGACUGUUGGGUACAAACUGCAAAGCUUUGUUCUGCAGGUAGGGCUGGGCUUUUCAUUGACCAUGGGUUGGAAUAGUUCUGUGGGCAUAGUGUGUCUUCGAAGCCACUAUGUUUUCUGCACUUGUGACUAGAGAGCACCUUGAUAGCUCAGUUGGUAGAGCGGUGGACUGUAAGAUGCUCCUUGUGUGAAACGCUGUGAUCCUAAGGUCGCUGGUUCAACUCCAGCUCCAAGCACCUCCUUGUCAUUGGAAAUACCCCCAAGCCUUGUCUUUAUCUGUCAACUCCUCCAAAAUGUCAAAACACAAAGAAGAUAACUCUUUCUUAAAUUUUCAACCAUCAAUUUUUUAUUCACUCAGCCUAAAAGUCCUGAUUAUCAGUUCUGGGUCCCUGGCAAUGACUGUUGGGUACAAACUGCAAAGCUUUGUUCUGCAGGUAGGGCUGGGCUUUUCAUUGACCAUGGGUUGGAAUAGUUCUGUGGGCAUAGUGUGUCUUUGAAGCCACUAUGUUUUCUGCACUUGUGACUAGAGAGCACCUUGAUAGCUCAGUUGGUAGAGCGGUGGACUGUAAGAUGCUCCUUGUGUGAAACGCUGUGAUCCUAAGGUCGCUGGUUCAACUCCAGCUCCAAGCACCUCCUUGUCAUUGGAAAUACCCCCAAGCCUUGUCUUUAUCUGUCAACUCCUCCAAAAUGUCAAAACACAAAGAAGAUAACUCUUUCUUAAAUUUUCAACCAUCAAUUUUUUAUUCACCCAGCCUAAAAGUCCUGAUUAUCAGUUCUGGGUCCCUGGCAAUGACUGUUGGGUACAAACUGCAAAGCUUUGUUCUGCAGGUAGGGCUGGGCUUUUCAUUGACCAUGGGUUGGAAUAGUUCUGUGGGCAUAGUGUGUCUUCGAAGCCACUAUGUUUUCUGCACUUGUGACUAGAGAGCACCUUGAUAGCUCAGUUGGUAGAGCGGUGGACUGUAAGAUGCUCCUUGUGUGAAACGCCGUGAUCCUAAGGUCGCUGGUUCAACUCCAGCUCCAAGCACCUCCUUGUCAUUGGAAAUACCCCCAAGCCUUGUCUUUAUCUGUCAACUCCUCCAAAAUGUCAAAACACAAAGAAGAUAACUCUUUCUUAAAUUUUCAACCAUCAAUUUUUUAUUCACUCAGCCUAAAAGUCCUGAUUAUCAGUUCUGGGUCCCUGGCAAUGACUGUUGGGUACAAACUGCAAAGCUUUGUUCUGCAGGUAGGGCUGGGCUUUUCAUUGACCAUGGGUUGGAAUAGUUCUGUGGGCAUAGUGUGUCUUCGAAGCCACUAUGUUUUCUGCACUUGUGACUAGAGAGCACCUUGAUAGCUCAGUUGGUAGAGCGGUGGACUGUAAGAUGCUCCUUGUGUGAAACGCUGUGAUCC